GGCCCAAAUUUGGAAUAGAGUAGAUUAGAAGGAUUGUAUGACCCUACUAAACUACUCUACUUUGAAUUUGUGCCC
rfam:Haemonchus contortus, ISE/inbred ISE, WGS project CAVP01000000 data, contig: Hcontortus_3891